rnacentral:rRNA from 1 species
UGGGGAAUAUUGGACAAUGGGGGGAACCCUGAUCCAGCCAUGCCGCGUGUGUGAAGAAGGCCUUAUGGUUGUAAAGCACUUUAAGCGAGGAGGAGGGUACUGGUAUUAAUACUACCAGGUACUGGACGUUACUCGCAGAAUAAGCACCGGCUAACUCUGUGCCAGCAGCCGCGGUAAUACAGAGGGUGCGAGCGUUAAUCGGAUUUACUGGGCGUAAAGCGUGCGUAGGCGGCUAAUUGAGUCGGAUGUGAAAUCCCCGAGCUUAACUUGGGAAUUGCAUUCGAUACUGGUCAGCUAGAGUGUGGGAGAGGAUGGUAGAAUUCCAGGUGUAGCGGUGAAAUGCGUAGAGAUCUGGAGGAAUACCGAUGGCGAAGGCAGCCAUCUGGCCUAACACUGACGCUGAGGUACGAAAGCAUGGGGAGCAAACAGG